UACGAAGGGGGCUAGCGUUGUUCGGAAUUACUGGGCGUAAAGCGCACGUAGGCGGACUAUUAAGUCAGGGGUGAAAUCCCGGGGCUCAACCCCGGAACUGCCUUUGAUACUGGUAGUCUCGAGUCCGGAAGAGGUGAGUGGAAUUCCGAGUGUAGAGGUGAAAUUCGUAGAUAUUCGGAGGAACACCAGUGGCGAAGGCGGCUCACUGGCCCGGUACUGACGCUGAGGUGCGAAAGCGUGGGGAGCAAACAGG
rnacentral:rRNA from 1 species